UACAGAGGCUGCAAGCGUUGUUCGGAUUCACUGGGCGUAAAGGGUGCGCAGGCGGCCAAGUGUGUGAGGCGUGAAAGCCCGGGGCUUAACCCCGGAAUUGCACCUCAAACUACUUGGCUAGAGCAUUGGAGAGGGUAGCAGAAUUCAUGGUGUAGCAGUGAAAUGCGUAGAUAUCAUGAGGAAUACCAGAGGCGAAGGCGGCUCCCUGGACAAUUGCUGACGCUCAGGCACGAAAGCGUGGGGAGCAAAAGGG
rnacentral:rRNA from 1 species